rnacentral:rRNA from 1 species
UAACGCUGGCGGCAGGCUUAACACAUGCAAGUCGAGCGGUAGCACAGGGGAGCUUGCUCCCUGGGUGACGAGCGGCGGACGGGUGAGUAAUGUCUGGGAAACUGCCUGAUGGAGGGGGAUAACUACUGGAAACGGUAGCUAAUACCGCAUAACGUCGCAAGACCAAAGAGGGGGACCUUCGGGCCUCUUGCCAUCAGAUGUGCCCAGAUGGGAUUAGCUAGUAGGUGGGGUAAUGGCUCACCUAGGCGACGAUCCCUAGCUGGUCUGAGAGGAUGACCAGCCACACUGGAACUGAGACACGGUCCAGACUCCUACGGGAGGCAGCAGUGGGGAAUAUUGCACAAUGGGCGCAAGCCUGAUGCAGCCAUGCCGCGUGUGUGAAGAAGGCCUUCGGGUUGUAAAGCACUUUCAGCGAGGAGGAAGGUGGUGAACUUAAUACGUUCAUCAAUUGACGUUACUCGCAGAAGAAGCACCGGCUAACUCCGUG